ensembl:lncRNA
CCCUAUGUGUCCCUGUAUGACCCCAUAGGGCCCCAUCUGACCCCAUAGGACCCCGUCUGACCCCAUAUGACCCUAUAUGUCCCUGUAUGACCCCAUAUGACCCUAUGUGUCCCUGUAUGACCCCAUAGGACCCCAUAUGACCCUAUGUGACCCCGUCUGACCCCAUAUGGCCCUCUAUGACCCCAUACGACCCCAUAUGGCCCUAUAGGACCCCAUAGGACCCCAUCUGACCCCAUAUGACCCCAUAUGGCCCUAUAGGAUCCCAUAGGACCCCAUCUGACCCCAUAUGUCCCCCGCAGCCGCACGCAGGACGUGGUGGAGCCGCUGCUGUCCCCAUCUGUCCUCAGCUGUCCCUGUAUGACCCCAUAGGACCCCAUAUGACCCCAUACAACCCCAUAGGACCCUCUCUGACCCCAUAGGACCCCAUAGGAACCUAUGUGUCCCUGUAUGACCCCAUAGAACCCUAUGUGUCCCUGUAUGACCCCAUA